rnacentral:rRNA from 1 species
AUUGAACGCUGGCGGCAGGCUUAACACAUGCAAGUCGAGCGGAGAUGAGGUGCUUGCACCUUAUCUUAGCGGCGGACGGGUGAGUAAUGCUUAGGAAUCUGCCUAUUAGUGGGGGACAACAUUCCGAAAGGAAUGCUAAUACCGCAUACGUCCUACGGGAGAAAGCAGGGGAUCUUCGGACCUUGCGCUAAUGGAUACGCCUAAGUCGGGUUAGCUAGUUGGUGGGGUAAAGGCCUACCAAGGCGACGAUCGGUAGCGGGUCUGAGAGGAUGAUCCGCCACACUGGGACUGAGACACGGCCCAGACUCCUACGGGAGGCAGCAGUGGGGAAUAUUGGACAAUGGGGGAAACCCUGAUCCAGCCAUGCCGCGUGUGUGAAGAAGGCCUUAUGGUUGUAAAGCACUUUAAGCGAGGAGGAGGCUACUGAGACUAAUACUCUUGGAUAGUGGACGUUACUCGCAGAAUAAGCACCGGCUAACUCUGUGCCAGCCGCCGCCGUAA